GAACCUACGGGAGGCAGCAGUGAGGAAUAUUGGUCAAUGGCCGAGAGGCUGAACCAGCCAAGUCGCGUGAGGGAUGACGGCCCUACGGGUUGUAAACCUCUUUUGUCAGGGAGCAAAGGGCGCCACGUGUGGCGUUUUGCGAGUACCUGAAGAAAAAGCAUCGGCUAACUCCGUGCCAGCAGCCGCGGUAAUACGGAGGAUGCGAGCGUUAUCCGGAUUUAUUGGGUUUAAAGGGUGCGCAGGCGGAAUGUCAAGUCAGCGGUAAAAUUUCGGGGCUCAACCCCGUCGUGCCGUUGAAACUGGCG
rnacentral:rRNA from 1 species